UACGUAGGGGGCAAGCGUUGUCCGGAUUUACUGGGUGUAAAGGGCGCGUAGGCGGGUUUGUAAGUCAGUGGUGAAAUCCUGCGGCUUAACCGUAGAACUGUCUCUGAUACUGCAAAUCUUGAGUUCGGAAGAGAGUAGCGGAAUUCCAGGUGUAGUGGUGAAAUACGUAGAUAUCUGGAAGAACACCAGUGGCGAAGGCGGCUACUUGGUCCGUAACUGACGCUGAGGCGCGAAAGCAUGGGGAGCGAACAGGAUUAGAUACCCGUGUAGU
rnacentral:rRNA from 1 species